rnacentral:rRNA from 1 species
CGAAAGGGGGGCAGCUACACAUGCAGUCGAGCGAACCUUCGGGUUAGCGGCGGACGGGUGAGUAACGCGUGGGAACGUACCCUCUUCUGCGGGAUAGCCACUGGAAACGGUGAGUAAUACCGCAUACGCCCUUCGGGGGAAAGAUUUAUCGGAGGAGGAUCGGCCCGCGUUGGAUUAGGUAGUUGGUGGGGUAAUGGCCUACCAAGCCUACGAUCCAUAGCUGGUUUUAGAGGAUGAUCAGCCACACUGGGACUGAGACACGGCCCAGACUCCUACGGGAGGCAGCAGUGGGGAAUCUUAGACAAUGGGCGCAAGCCUGAUCUAGCCAUGCCGCGUGAGUGACGAAGGCCUUAGGGUCGUAAAGCUCUUUCGCCAGAGAUGAUAAUGACAGUAUCUGGUAAAGAAACCCCGGCUAACUCCGUGCCAGCAGCCGCGGUAAUACGGAGGGGGUUAGCGUUGUUCGGAAUUACUGGGCGUAAAGCGCACGUAGGCGGAUUGGAAAGUUGGGGGUGAAAUCCCAGGGCUCAACCCUGGAACUGCCUCCAAAACUCCCAGUCUGGAGUUCGAGAGAGGUGAGUGGAAUUCCGAGUGUAGAGGUGAAAUUCGUAGAUAUUCGGAGGAACACCAGUGGCGAAGGCGGCUCACUGGCUCGAUACUGAC